UUAAGCGACUAAGCGUACACGGUGGAUGCCCUGGCAGUCAGAGGCGAUGAAGGACGUGCUAAUCUGCGAUAAGCGCCGGUAAGGUGAUAUGAACCGUUAUAACCGGCGAUUUCCGAAUGGGGAAACCCAGUGUGAUUCGUCACACUAUCAUUAACUGAAUCCAUAGGUUAAUGAGGCGAACCGGGGGAACUGAAACAUCUAAGUACCCCGAGGAAAAGAAAUCAACCGAGAUUCCCCCAGUAGCGGCGAGCGAACGGGGAGGAGCCCAGAGCCUGAAUCAGCAUGUGUGUUAGUGGAAGCGUCUGGAAAGGCGCGCGAUACAGGGUGACAGCCCCGUACACAAAAGCGCAUGUGCUGUGAGCUCGAUGAGUAGGGCGGGACACGUGGUAUCCUGUCUGAAUAUGGGGGGACCAUCCUCCAAGGCUAAAUACUCCUGACUGACCGAUAGUGAACCAGUACCGUGAGGGAAAGGCGAAAAGAACCCCGGCGAGGGGAGUGAAAAAGAACCUGAAACCGUGUACGUACAAGCAGUGGGAGCACCCUUCGGGGUGUGACUGCGUACCUUUUGUAUAAUGGGUCAGCGACUUAUAUUCUGUAGCAAGGUUAACCGUAUAGGGGAGCCGGAGGGAAACCGAGUCUUAACCGGGCGUUAAGUUGCAGGGUAUAGACCCGAAACCCGGUGAUCUAGCCAUGGGCAGGUUGAAGGUUGGGUAACACUAACUGGAGGACCGAACCGACUAAUGUUGAAAAAUUAGCGGAUGACCUGUGGCUGGGGGUGAAAGGCCAAUCAAACCGGGAGAUAGCUGGUUCUCCCCGAAAGCUAUUUAGGUAGCGCCUCGUGAAUUCAUCUCCGGGGGUAGAGCACUGUUUCGGCUAGGGGGCCAUCCCGGCUUACCAACCCGAUGCAAACUGCGAAUACCGGAGAAUGUUAUCACGGGAGACACACGGCGGGUGCUAACGUCCGUCGUGAAGAGGGAAACAACCCAGACCGCCAGCUAAGGUCCCAAAGUCAUGGUUAAGUGGGAAACGAUGUGGGAAGGCCCAGACAGCCAGGAUGUUGGCUUAGAAGCAGCCAUCAUUUAAAGAAAGCGUAAUAGCUCACUGGUCGAGUCGGCCUGCGCGGAAGAUGUAACGGGGCUAAACCAUGCACCGAAGCUGCGGCAGCGACGCUGAUGCGUUGUUGGGUAGGGGAGCGUUCUGUAAGCCUGCGAAGGUGACCUGUGAGGGUUGCUGGAGGUAUCAGAAGUGCGAAUGCUGACAUAAGUAACGAUAAAGCGGGUGAAAAGCCCGCUCGCCGGAAGACCAAGGGUUCCUGUCCAACGUUAAUCGGGGCAGGGUGAGUCGACCCCUAAGGCGAGGCCGAAAGGCGUAGUCGAUGGGAAACGGGUUAAUAUUCCCGUACUUGGUGUUACUGCGAAGGGGGGACGGAGAAGGCUAUGUUGGCCGGGCGACGGUUGUCCCGGUUUAAGCGUGUAGGUGUGUGUUCCAGGUAAAUCCGGUUCACUUUAACACUGAGGCGUGAUGACGAGGCACUACGGUGCUGAAGCAACAAAUGCCCUGCUUCCAGGAAAAGCCUCUAAGCAUCAGGUAACAUCAAAUCGUACCCCAAACCGACACAGGUGGUCAGGUAGAGAAUACCAAGGCGCUUGAGAGAACUCGGGUGAAGGAACUAGGCAAAAUGGUGCCGUAACUUCGGGAGAAGGCACGCUGACACGUAGGUGAAGUGAUUUACUCACGGAGCUGAAGUCAGUCGAAGAUACCAGCUGGCUGCAACUGUUUAUUAAAAACACAGCACUGUGCAAACACGAAAGUGGACGUAUACGGUGUGACGCCUGCCCGGUGCCGGAAGGUUAAUUGAUGGGGUCAGCGCAAGCGAAGCUCCUGAUCGAAGCCCCGGUAAACGGCGGCCGUAACUAUAACGGUCCUAAGGUAGCGAAAUUCCUUGUCGGGUAAGUUCCGACCUGCACGAAUGGCGUAAUGAUGGCCAGGCUGUCUCCACCCGAGACUCAGUGAAAUUGAACUCGCUGUGAAGAUGCAGUGUACCCGCGGCAAGACGGAAAGACCCCGUGAACCUUUACUAUAGCUUGACACUGAACAUUGAGCCUUGAUGUGUAGGAUAGGUGGGAGGCUUUGAAGUGUGGACGCCAGUCUGCAUGGAGCCGACCUUGAAAUACCACCCUUUAAUGUUUGAUGUUCUAACGUGGACCCGUAAUCCGGGUUGCGGACAGUGUCUGGUGGGUAGUUUGACUGGGGCGGUCUCCUCCUAAAGAGUAACGGAGGAGCACGAAGGUUGGCUAAUCCUGGUCGGACAUCAGGAGGUUAGUGCAAUGGCAUAAGCCAGCUUGACUGCGAGCGUGACGGCGCGAGCAGGUGCGAAAGCAGGUCAUAGUGAUCCGGUGGUUCUGAAUGGAAGGGCCAUCGCUCAACGGAUAAAAGGUACUCCGGGGAUAACAGGCUGAUACCGCCCAAGAGUUCAUAUCGACGGCGGUGUUUGGCACCUCGAUGUCGGCUCAUCACAUCCUGGGGCUGAAGUAGGUCCCAAGGGUAUGGCUGUUCGCCAUUUAAAGUGGUACGCGAGCUGGGUUUAGAACGUCGUGAGACAGUUCGGUCCCUAUCUGCCGUGGGCGCUGGAGAACUGAGGGGGGCUGCUCCUAGUACGAGAGGACCGGAGUGGACGCAUCACUGGUGUUCGGGUUGUCAUGCCAAUGGCACUGCCCGGUAGCUAAAUGCGGAAGAGAUAAGUGCUGAAAGCAUCUAAGCACGAAACUUGCCCCGAGAUGAGUUCUCCCUGAGACUUAGAGUCUCCUGAAGGAACGUUGAAGACGACGACGUUGAUAGGCCGGGUGUGUAAGCGCAGCGAUGCGUUGAGCUAACCGGUACUAAUGAACCGUGAGGCUUAACCU
rnacentral:rRNA from 2 species